GGUUGAUCCUGCCAGUAGUCAUAUGCUUGUCUCAAAGAUUAAGCCAUGCAUGUCUAAGUAUAAACAAAUUUGUACUGUGAAACUGCGAAUGGCUCAUUAAAUCAGUUAUAGUUUAUUUGAUGGUACAUUGCUACAUGGAUAACUGUGGUAAUUCUAGAGCUAAUACAUGCAAUCAAGCCCCGACUCACGGAGGGGUGUAUUUAUUAGAUAAAAAACCAACGCGGUUCGCCGCUUUUUGGUGAUUCAUAAUAACUGUUCGAAUCGCAUGGCCUUGCGCCGGCGAUGCUUCAUU
rnacentral:rRNA from 1 species